UACGGAGGGAGCUAGCGUUGUUCGGAAUUACUGGGCGUAAAGCGCACGUAGGCGGCUUUGUAAGUUAGAGGUGAAAGCCCGGAGCUCAACUCCGGAACUGCCUUUAAGACUGCAUCGCUUGAAUCCAGGAGAGGUGAGUGGAAUUCCGAGUGUAGAGGUGAAAUUCGUAGAUAUUCGGAAGAACACCAGUGGCGAAGGCGGCUCACUGGACUGGUAUUGACGCUGAGGUGCGAAGGCGUGGGGAGCAAACAGG
rnacentral:rRNA from 1 species